rnacentral:rRNA from 1 species
CACUCCUACGGGAGGCAGCAGUGGGGAAUUUUGGACAAUGGGCGAAAGCCUGAUCCAGCAAUGCCGCGUGAGUGAAGAAGGCCUUCGGGUUGUAAAGCUCUUUUGUCAGGGAAGAAACGGUGAGAGCUAAUAUCUUUUGCUAAUGACGGUACCUGACGAAUAAGCACCGGCUAACUACGUGCCAGCAGCCGCGGUAAUACGUAGGGUGCAAGCGUUAAUCGGAAUUACUGGGCGUAAAGCGUGCGCAGGCGGUUUUGUAAGUCUGAUGUGAAAUCCCCGGGCUCAACCUGGGAAUUGCAUUGGAGACUGCAAGGCUAGAAUCUGGCAGAGGGGGGUAGAAUUCCACGUGUAGCAGUGAAAUGCGUAGAUAUGUGGAGGAACACCGAUGGGGAAGGCAGCCCCCUGGGUCAAGAUUGACGCUCAUGCACGAAAGCGUGGGGAGCAAACAGGAUUAGAAACCCGAGUAGUCCCAUG